GGGGGUUGGAAGUUAAACACGUGGGUAACCUGCCUGUAAGACUGGGAUAACUCCGGGAAACCGGGGCUAAUACCGGAUGCUUGUUUGAACCGCAUGGUUCAAACAUAAAAGGUGGCUUCGGCUACCACUUACAGAUGGACCCGCGGCGCAUUAGCUAGUUGGUGAGGUAAUGGCUCACCAAGGCGACGAUGCGUAGCCGACCUGAGAGGGUGAUCGGCCACACUGGGACUGAGACACGGCCCAGACUCCUACGGGAGGCAGCAGUAGGGAAUCUUCCGCAAUGGACGAAAGUCUGACGGAGCAACGCCGCGUGAGUGAUGAAGGUUUUCGGAUCGUAAAGCUCUGUUGUUAGGGAAGAACAAGUACCGUUCGAAUAGGGCGGUACCUUGACGGUACCUAACCAGAAAGCCACGGCUAACUACGUGCCAGCAGCCGCGGUAAUACGUAGGUGGCAAGCGUUGUCCGGAAUUAUUGGGCGUAAAGGGCUCGCAGGCGGUUUCUUAAGUCUGAUGUGAAAGCCCCCGGCUCAACCGGGGAGGGUCAUUGGAAACUGGGGAACUUGAGUGCAGAAGAGGAGAGUGGAAUUCC
rnacentral:rRNA from 1 species